CUGGAUGUCAUCAUCUCCUAGCUGAGGGACAACUGGGUUGCUGAGAAUCUGGAUCACCUCCUUAACAAUGUAGGAAGUCAUAACCAGCUCCUCAGACUGGCCGGCUGCUACCUCGGGUACUACUAAUAGUGCUGCCUGUGCUGCUGGGACUGUUGGCUACAUAAUCAGGUCCAAUAGAAGAUCUCCAGCAGAUGCAAUCUUAGCGACCUCCUUUCUCAACUUUUCCACUGACCUCUUUGAUGCUUGAGACUUCCGCAUCUUCUUCACCUGUUUUCCUAAAUCCUCAAUGGAUUUCCCAUGUGCCACUGCUGAAGCUAUGAUAGUCUUCUGGUUAUCUAGAAUUGUCUUCAAUGUUUCCCCUGCUUAUGGAGGUACUUGUGGGGCUGCUGGGGCAGAAGACUAUGUUGCAACAACAUUGGAUAUAUUAGUUAGCUUAGUAAUAGCUACCUGCAUCUGGUUGUUGAGACUCGCCAAUGUCUGGGAGACUUGCAGCGCAGCCCUAAGGAUAUGUAUAUGAGGCUAUCACUAAUAAUGGCACUGAUGUAUAACAGAGGAAGACAGUGGCAUAUCCGAUGUCCCACUAGAAGGGUUGGCUACUGUGGCAGGUAAUGCAGAUGAUGAAGGCUCAGUAAAUAAAUCGGUAACUACUACUGCUGGCUCCUCAGACUGGCAGUGGAGGUAGUAGCCUUAGCCUUGAAUUUUGGGUUGCCAGCUUCCUAAAGUUGGUACCAUGAAAAAUGUACUUUGCCUUUACUUCAUUAUCAUAAUGCCUCGGUUCUAC
rnacentral:lncRNA from 1 species